rnacentral:rRNA from 1 species
AUUGAACGCUGGCGGCAUGCCUUACACAUGCAAGUCGAACGGUAACGGGCCUUCGGGUGCCGACGAGUGGCGCACGGGUGAGUAAUACAUCGGAACGUGCCCGAUCGUGGGGGAUAACGAGGCGAAAGCUUUGCUAAUACCGCAUACGAUCUACGGAUGAAAGCAGGGGACCGCAAGGCCUUGCGCGGACGGAGCGGCCGAUGGCAGAUUAGGUAGUUGGUGGGAUAAAAGCUUACCAAGCCGACGAUCUGUAGCUGGUCUGAGAGGAUGAUCAGCCACACUGGGACUGAGACACGGCACAGACUCCUACGGGAGGCAGCAGUGGGGAAUUUUGGACAAUGGGCGCAAGCCUGAUCCAGCCAUGCCGCGUGCAGGAUGAAGGCCUUCGGGUUGUAAACUGCUUUUGUACGGAACGAAAAGCCUUCUUUUAAUACAGGAGGGUCAUGACGGUACCGUAAGAAUAAGCACCGGCUAACUACGUG